UGUCCAGUCUUCCAGUGUAAGCACCGUCACCAUGGCUGACUCCAGUUCUUCAACUAAUGCACCGUUACCAGAGCUGUUAGGGUUAGACCCUGAGCCCUCGGAGUCCCCUAACAAACCAGCAUCUUCUGCAACGUGAUCUCAGAACUGUGUGAAAUCUGAAAGACAAGCUCCCUGUCCGACUGGUCCACCUCCUUCCAGCUCGAAACUCCAGAGGAAGUCCCAGUUACUUGAGCCUGCAGGUCCCAGUUUCAACUCCAGGACUCACCACAUCUUGCAAAGAGAACUUCUGCAAAUUGUCCUCUGACCUCCACAGAUGUGUGUGUACACACACACACUCGUGUGUGUGGGGGAAUAACAACAACAACAACAAUAAUAAUAUGGACUAUCUUCAGUCCUGCCAGGACGGGCCCACCAGGGAAUGUCAAGGUUCAUCUACCCUGCUGCUCAGACAUUACUUCCCUGGUAUUAGAACUGACUUCCAACUUAGACUGGAGACCAGCAAAAGGCUUCUACCCAGAAAUGCUCUAGGACUCCAGCACCGGACAUCCAGUCUUGACUGAACAAAUACUGGAUCCUUGGCCUUUCCAUUGGGACACAGUCACUAUUGGACCACCCAAGCCGCAACCUGAAGCCAGGACCUGCACCACCCAGCACAGAUGGAUGCAUGACUUAUUCCCGAGAACAGCAAGGUGCUGCCCUUUAUGUUUACUUGGGUGAACGGAAAUUUUGGUUUCAGAUGUUCAUAUUAAAAUCAUAUUAGGGAGACACGGCCCAAGAACUUAUUAGACACACCAGACUCAGGUAAAGGUGUAACUCCUUCAACUGGACCCCAUAAAGUGAUGGGCACCCAACAGGGUGGUGAAAUAGCCCCACACCAACCUAUAUCAGACACCUGAUGUGUAUGUCAAGGCUGAGGAUACCCUGACUGUCUUUUGAUCUCAUCUGGACUUGGACUCCCCCCUGUUGACUCAACCUACUCUGUGGUUGCCUGUCCCCUUGUUUGCUCAUUUGGUCUGACCCGCCAUUUCCUGCUCUUCCUGGUUCCGUGGACUUCACUGUUUGCUGUCAAUCCUGACUCAGGCAGCCUCCGCGGUACCUCUCUCCUGGCUCGGCUGUGAUUCGUUAUCUUGUCACUGUGGACUCCUAGCCUGAAGUAGAAUAAGGCAGAAAAGACCAAUUAUUAGUUCCUGGUUUGUAAACUUCUUUGGUGACUCACUUCAAGCCCUGCUUGUACUGCCUGUUCGCCGCGGCCGACUUCACCUGUUACCGGGAACGGAACAAUCUGGAGAAAAAUCCGAAGCAGUGGAUUAUCGCCCUGAACAGCCUGCCCGAGUGCCAUGGACGCUUCAGUAACAUCUUGCUUGCUUUUCUGCCCCACCUUGUGGUUUUAGAGCGUAAAAUGAGAACACAAACUGGAUCCGGGGUCGAAGUCUUUCAGGAGCUUCUAGUGGCCAAGGGAACUGUGAGACCCAGGACCAGAGUCUUUGAGAGGAAGAAGACAAGACUAGGCUGGAAGUCUGGAUCCGGUGAGGCCCCUGGGGAUAGGCAGGGGUGCGGGCUUGGUCACCCCAUAGGAGAUUGCAUCUGAAGCCUUGAUGGGAUACCAAGAUGGCGCUGGUCCCAAGGAAAAGGUAGAUUGUCUUUGGAGGAACAGACAAAUCAGGAAUUUAAAAUGGGAAUGUGUGCCUUCUGAAUGAAUGGUGAAUGAAUGUGGGGACGCUUGUAAUGGUCCCAUGGCUCUGAGGCUACAGAGCCAGAUUGGGCCCUAAUCUGUGGGUCCACUGAGGUAAUUUCAACUAGGUGGGCCCUCACCUUCCAUAACAGGAGACUGAGCACAGAAUUAUAAGUGUGUCCCUAAGACAAGACCUCUUAAGUCACGAAGAGGUGGCUGGGUAGAUGAGAACCUGCUUGAGGGAGAAGCUGGUCUUCUCAUCCCAGCCUAUGCACCAACAGGGCUAGCUACAUCUACCCCAUACUCCCAACUCCUAAUUCAGGAACUCCUCUCCUCCUGGGGUCUACAUAGUUCUGUUGUGAGACCUGCGCAGUCCUACAAACCUUCCUCAACACUUUUAAAAGAGGGGCUGCUGCUGCGGGAUAAAGAUAAGGCCUCCACAUUGAAGACUGUGACAUUAAUUGGCCUUCCUUUGGCGUUGGCUGGCCAGCAGAUGGAACUCCUGUUUUGACUCUGAUUAACAGAGUUCAAGAGUUCUGUAUGGGACACCUGGCCACACAGAUCAAUUUUCAUAUAUUGAUUCAUUGAGUCUGUUGACCCAAGAGCUUCCAGAAUGACGGCUCUACCAGAACCUUCCCAACCCUGGACCAUACUGACUACAAAGACUGUUAAGCUUGAAGACACUAAACUUUUCCAUUAGCUUCAGCAGAGGAUGAAAUUUUGCCCAUGAAGCCACCUCCCUACUGGCUCUGAUCGCAAGUGCCAGCCACAUAGCUCUGAGGCAGUUGCAAGACCCCUUGAACCUUAUCCCUCCAAUGGCAUCCACCCCAGCCCAAUGCUCACCAUCCUCAUCCUGCCAGCCUGCUCUGCCGGACUCACCAACUACAUGGGGAUGUUCACCAGGUCAGGUCAAUUGUGUCCACAGGAGGAGUUCUUUCCGCUGAGGAAAAUGCCAGACCCUCCCUUUAUCCAAGAAGAUAACAACUAUGGCUCCAGGCCCUAAAUCCAGCCACACACUUGUCUGAAGAGGAGGGAGAGCCCAUCCAUGAUUGCAGAGAAAUUAUAAAAGAGAUUUUUCUCCUCACAGCCUGACUCAAAGGAUGAGUCAUUCCCCAAUUCAGAUAUGAAACUUUUUAUUGAUGGGAGCUGAAGCCAUCAACAGGGGAAAGAACCUUUCACACCAAAAGACGCAAAGCAGCAAUAUAUAGAGAAAGGGGACUGUGUAUCCCAGGGGGCAAAAACAAACAGGCAGACAGACAGACAAACCUAGAGACCAUACCAUACAGGGGCUAAAAGCCCAGCUGUGGCAGUGGUGCACUGGCAGGCUCACACAGAGUCAAGGCUGAGUGAGUCAGGGGACACCAACUGGCAGUCACAGGCUGCCCUCACACGAAGAUAUAGCCCAGAAGUCCCUAGGAGCCAUUUCCCCCUACCAGAGGUAUAUUUAAUAACUGUCAAAGGGGCUACUAGAAACCAGGAGUGAUGGCUGAUUACUUCAGCUCUCAGCCUAAUCUGACAAGCUCAUGAAACAAGGCUCUGGAAAAACUGCCAUACAGGAAUUUUUGGUAGCAGAGAUACUCGGUGGUCCCAAGGUUGCCAAUACCGAUCCAACAAGCUAGCAAAGCCUGUUUGCAGCAUGCUCAGAACUAUCCCAAGCAUGGACCCGAGGCCCCCAUGAUGACACAAAAAUAGGGGUCCUACACAUUUGAGCAUCUAGAAAUGGUCUUUACCGACAUUCAGUCCAGUAGAGGGUGUUGAUAUUUGCUGCUAUGGUGUGCACUUUUUCAGGCCAGCUAGAAGCUCUUUUUAUCUGCAGAGAAUUAACUUGGAACUUAACACAUGGAACUACCCUCAACCAUCAAACCAGUCAAGAGGAUGAAAAAAAAAACUUUUAACAUGGUACUGGUCAAUAUUGCCAAGAAACAGACCUCCCCAGGCAGACAUUCUGUUUAGGAUGUAUUAUAUACCCUGUAAAUGUGGUGACUCUAUUUUUGAGAUCAUGAUUGGCCACCCACCUCCACUGCUCCCAAAGGACUCAAAGGACCUCUGAGAGUAUGGACACACCUUCCUCCAGUGGUUCUUGAAAGACCUGGCUGACACUGCACAAAAUUUGCCCACUCCCUCAGCUCUUAAAGUUGCAUGUGUCAAGCAGUGGAUAUAUUAUACCCAUACCAAGGCUGCUUUGGUCCCGAGCCAGGAAGAGACAAGGCGAGCCCAUCCAACCUGCAUAUGAAACUGAUCAGCUCAAAAUGACCUUGAAAUGGGACCACAGUUCAGCUUCUAUUCUGCUUCCAGAUGUCCUUCUUCAUCCUGUGGACACAAGUCUGUGCAGUCCUCACUCAGCCUCUCUGAUCCUGUCACAUAAAUUAGUCUGGAGGGCAACCUUGUUCCAGGACAACUCCAAUUCCUAGACACCCAUCAAUAUAAGUAACUGCUCCCAGAGGGGUUCUGCUUUAUCUUCUCUAGGUGGUGCUUCUACCGAGAAAUAGGCCAGCCACGGGGCAUACUGUGAUGGAACUAUCUACACCAGUAAAACAGGCUGUGAUUCCUUUUAGAGACAGUCCUAGCUAGUGACAACUUGUGGACAAGCAGUCUGACAACAAAAGUGACUGUGGAUUGUGGGGGAGCCUAUUGGUCUUAUCUUAAAUACUGGUAUGUAUUGGGUGAUAUUUUGAUUGCUUUCUGAUGUUCCUGAGACUGUCAGUAAAAUUUACUCUGAAUCAGAGAGUAGAGUUAGCUACUAGUUGACCAAAUUAAUCAUAGAGGCUUUGGAGGAUUGAGGACAGAAAGAGAGACACAGGAAAUAGUAGGACAGGGAAGUAGUAGAGAGGGUCUCUGCUUUUUUGAAUUGAGGAAGGGGAAAGAGAAGGUCACUGUGGUUUCUAUGCUGCUUCUCUGAUCAUUUAGGUUCUUACCCCAUA